UACGUAGGUGGCGAGCGUUGUCCGGAUUUACUGGGCGUAAAGAGCGCGCAGGCGGUCGUACAAGUCGCGUGUGAAAGCCCCCGGCUCAACUGGGGAGGGUCACGCGAUACUGUUCGACUCGAAGGCAGGAGAGGGAAGUGGAAUUCCCGGUGUAGUGGUGAAAUGCGCAGAUAUCAGGAGGAACACCGGUGGCGAAGGCGGGUCUCUGGGCAGUAACUGACGCUGAGGAGCGAAAGCGUGGGGAGCGAACAGG
rnacentral:rRNA from 1 species